rnacentral:lncRNA from 1 species
CCGUAAAAAGUCCACUUAAGGCGCACCGUCAAUUUUCAAGAGGUCUAAAUAUUCAUUGAUCUGCUCAAUCUACAUUAUGUUUUGAGAUUUAAAUUUUAUAAUUAGAGUGGAAAAAAAUUUUAUAGCCAUCACAAAAAUUUUCACGAGAGAAAUAGCAUCUUUCAACACUAUUUGAAAGUGCGUCUUUCUUUGAUUGUUUAAGGCCUCAACCAAAUACAAACCACACCCUAUAAAGAAACAGUAUAAAAUUAUUCACUUUCAAAAUACAAAGCACAGUAUGAAAUUAUUAUCAAUUAAGAGAGAGACACUGCUGCUUCAAGAAUAACACUGAGAAGCACUCGCCUGUGAUACAGUCUCGAUACUUCACUCACUCUGCGGCCUGCACCUGAACAAUUGAAGCAUGUUAUUAUUUUCUAAAUUGCAUAAAAAAAGUCAAAGCCCCCAAAAUCAGAUACUAUGAAAUGCAUGCUUAUCUUGUUUGUAUGAGCAUAUAGGAGGAGGCAUGCCUUUUCCAAAUAUGUUAAACAAAAAAAGGCCAGGUAAUAUUAGACAAACUUCAAUGGUUCGAAUUCUUGAACUCUAUCACCCAUCCUGAUAUGUCUAUCACCAUGCGGAAGCCUAAGGGACAUCUUCUUCAUGUGCUACGCGUCUCUUGAGCAUCAGUUGCAUGAGGGCAUGUCCGUAGGCCUGUCUACACGCACCUUAGAGAGAGAGAGAGAGAGAGAGAGAGAGAGAGAGAGAGAGCUGUUGG